CUAUUACUUGCUGCCUCGCUUUUCAUAGCAGGGGAUCAAUACCUUACCCUUACAGGUGACCUUCAUUAAGCUGCACCGAAAAUACUCUAGACUUUUAUGGCGGCAGCAUUUAGACUUAAACACAUCAUGGACAAAUCUCUACUGUCUUCUUUAUUAUUGACUACAACUCCCAUCAAUCUUGACCAAGCAGAAAAGCCCAACAACAGCACAUUUUCCA